AAUGGGCGCAAGCCUGAUCCAGCCAUGCCGCGUGAGUGAAGAAGGCCUUCGGGUUGUAAAGCUCUUUUGUCAGGGAAGAAAUGCUCUGGGUUAAUACCCUGGGGUGAUGACGGUACCUGAAGAAUAAGCACCGGCUAACUACGUGCCAGCAGCCGCGGUAAUACGUAGGGUGCGAGCGUUAAUCGGAAUUACUUGGCGUAAAGCGUGCGCAGGCGGUUUUGUAAGUCAGAUGUGAAAUCCCCGGGCUCAACCUGGGAACUGCAUUUGAGACUGCAAGGCUAGAGUGUAGCAGAGGGGGGUAGAAUUCCACGUGUAGCAGUGAAAUGCGUAGAGAUGUGGAGGAAUACCGAUGGCGAAGGCAGCCCCCUGGGUUACUACUGACGCUCAUGCACGAAAGCGUGGGGAGCAAA
rnacentral:rRNA from 1 species